GGGUAAUGUGUGGAGAGGUAAUGUGUGUGUCUGGGUAAUGUGUGGAGAGGUAAUGUGUGUGUUUGGGUAAUGUGUGGAGAGGUAAUGUAUGUGUUUGGGUAAUGUGUGGAGAGGUAAUGUAUGUGUUUGGUGUGGAUAGGUAAUGUUUGUGUGGAGAGGUAAUGUAUGUGUCUGGGUAAUGCAGGGAGAGGUAAUGUAUGUGUUUGGUGUGGAGAGGUAAUGUAUGUGCCUGGGUAAUGUGUGGAGAGGUAAUGUAUGUGUUUGGUGUGGAGAGGUAAUGUUUGGUGUGGAGAGGCAAUGUUUGUGUGGAGAGGUAAUGUAUGUGUCUGGGUAAUGUAGGGAGAGGUAAGGUGUGUGUUUGGGUAAUGUGUGGAGAGGUAAUGUGUGUGUUUGGGUAAUGUUUGGAGAGGUAAUGUAUGUGUCUGGGUUAUGUGUGGAGAGGUAAUGCGUGUGUCUGCGUAAUGUGCGUGUUUGGGUAAUGUGUGUAGAGGUAAUGUCUGUGUUUGGGUAAUGUGUGGAGAGGUAAUGUGCAUGUUUGGGUAAUGUGCAGAUAAGUAAUGUGUGGAGAGGUAAUGUAUGUGUUUGGGCAAUGUUUGGAGAGGUAAUGUGUGUGUUUGGUGUGGAGAGGCAAUGUUUUGUGUGGAGAGGUAAUGUAUGUGUCUGGGCAAUGUGUGGAGAGGUAAUGUAUGUGUUUGGUGUGGAGAUGUAAUGUUUGUGUGGAGAGGUAAUGUGUGUGUCUGGGUAAUGUGUGGAGAGGUCAUGUAUGUGUGUUGGUAAUGUGUGGAGA
ensembl:lncRNA